GCUUGUCUCAAAGAUUAAGCCAUGCAUGUCUAAGUGUAAAUAAGUCUAUACUGUGAAACUGCGAAUGGCUCAUUAAAUCAGUUAUCGUUUAUUUGAUGGUUCUUACUACUUGGAUAACCGUAGUAAUUCUAGAGCUAAUACAUGCAUCAACUGCAGCGAUAAUGCCUGAAAAACGUGUGAAUUUAGUAGCACAAAUACUAGAGUAUGGAUGAGUCCGCUCUAUUCAGGAGGGUUUUCCCUCUGUUGACCAUCGAGUUCGAGGGUUGAAUACUUAGGCUUCGGCUUCUGUUGAAAGCUUUAUCGGUGGCCGGGAAGAUAUGUUUCUAAUCUAUUAGCCAGACUAUUGGGUAAGGUCCAAUUUUCGGCUAUAAUGGAUACAGGGGAUCGGUGUCCGACUCUGGAGAGAGAGCCUGAGAAACGGCUAUCACAUCUAAGGAAGGCAGCAGG
rnacentral:rRNA from 1 species